rnacentral:rRNA from 1 species
UACGGAGGGAGCAAGCGUUACUCGGAAUUAUUGGGCGUAAAGGGCGCGUAGGCGGUUUGACAAGUCUUGUGUGAAAGCCCCGAGCUUAACUCGGGAAGUGCACAAGAAACUGUUGAAUUUGAGUUCCGGAGAGGAAGGCAGAAUUCCCGGUGUAGCGGUGAAAUGCGUAGAUAUCGGGAGGAAUACCAGUGGCGAAGGCGGCCUUCUGGACGGAUACUGACGCUGAGGCGCGAAAGCCAGGGGAGCAAACGGG